rnacentral:rRNA from 1 species
UACGUAGGGGGCAAGCGUUGUCCGGAUUUAUUGGGCGUAAAGAGCGUGUAGGCGGUUUGGUAGGUCCGCUGUGAAAACUCGAGGCUCAACCUCGAGACGCCGGUGGAAACCAUCAGACUAGAGUCCGGAAGAGGAGAGUGGAAUUCCUGGCGUAGCGGUGAAAUGCGCAGAUAUCAGGAAGAACACCCGUGGCUAAGGCGGCUCUCUAGUACGGUACUGACGCUGAGACGCGAAAGCGUGGGUAGCGAACAGG